rnacentral:rRNA from 1 species
UACGUAGGCAGCGAGCGUUGUUCGGAAUUACUGGGCGUAAAGAGCUCGUAGGCGGUUUGUUGCGUCGGCUGUGAAAUCCCGAGGCUCAACCUCGGGUCUGCAGUCGAUACGAGCAAACUAGAGUGUUGCAGGGGAGACUGGAAUUCCUGGUGUAGCGGUGAAAUGCGCAGAUAUCAGGAGGAACACCGGUGGCGAAGGCGGGUCUCUGGGCAACAACAUGACGCUGGAGGAGCGAAAGCCGUGGGGAGCG